CUUCUUGACUUGGAACCUGUCCGGGUCACAAGUUUCACAAGCAGUGCUUUCUUUCUGCAGCAAAGAUAUUAGAACCAAAACUAGCUAUACUUAGAGGGCUCCUGAUGCAGUUGCAUGGCUAGUAGUCACAGUUUUGCAAGCUUAUAAGUAUUUCCCCAUUGAUAGCACACCGAUAACUGGCUCGAGUAUGGUGCUUGCACAUGUUACAAAACGGGGAAACCGCACCACAAGUGCAGCUUACGAAAUAUAAUGUUCUUGUCUAGCAUUUCCUUAAUGACCGCGCCGUAUUAGCAAGCGCCAAGAAUUUGAUGAAAUUUUCCAUUAUCAACUCCAAUCUGGGGUAUUCCCACAUAAAGCUGAUUAAAAUCUACGUGCCACGUUGGCCAUGGUAUUCAAAACUCCCAUCUCUGCCGAAUCCAAACGCCGAACAAUGACACAUUCAAAAUGGAAGUGAGAACUUGACAGAAUUGGGAGGGCGAGGAAAAGUCGUCAAUAAAAAAAUAAUAAUUUCCGCUCCAGCGCACAGCGAACACGGACGUCGACGGGAUCGAGGAUUAGAGCAGGAGUCGAAACUGCAGGCGGCGGAGGAGGACGGCCAGCCAGGAGGAGAUUAUUCAAAUGAUUGGAAAUUAUCAUGUGCUUGCAUCCAUUUUCGGUCCAGCCAGUGGCCGGGCUCUAUUCUCGAUGCUUCCUGGUCCAGGUUCGGUGUGCAAACAACAAAUUGCAUUUGUCAUCUGCUGCAUAAAUAACGAGAUAAUACCGUAA